CGUCAAGGAUCACUCUUUGGUUAAGAUAUUGGCAAGAAUCAGACUAUAAAAACUGAAUGAAGAAGUCACAGGAAAUCAGAAAGAAAGGACCAGCAGGAGCCAUUUAAAUCCAUUUACUGAAGCUGGAUUCUUCACUGCCACCCAGUCAACAUUGAGGUAUGUCCUA
rnacentral:lncRNA from 1 species